rnacentral:tRNA from 1 species
AUUGCUCUUAUUGGCAAAUCGGAUUCAAUUUGAACUGUGGUGUGAGUUUUUAUGGGCAACUGAUUUGUAAUCAGUAGGUCCGCGGUUCGAGUCCGUGUGGGGGCACCA